GUGGGGAAUAUUGGACAAUGGGCGAAAGCCUGAUCCAGCCAUGCCGCGUGUGUGAAGAAGGUCUUCGGAUUGUAAAGCACUGUAAGUUGGGAGGAAGGGCAGUAAGUUAAUACCUUGCUGUUUUGACGUUACCGACAGAAUAAGCACCGGCUAACUUCGUGCCAGCAGCCGCGGUAAUACGAAGGGUGCAAGCGUUAAUCGGAAUUACUGGGCGUAAAGCGCGCGUAGGUGGUUUUGUAAGUUGGAGGUGAAAUCCCCGGGCUACACCUGGGAACUGCCUCCAAAACUGCAUGACUAGAGUACGGUAGAGGGUAGUGGAAUUUCCUGUGUAGCGGUGAAAUGCGUAGAUAUAGGAAGGAACACCAGUGGCGCAGGCGACUACCUGGACUGAUACUGACACUGAGGUGCGAAAGCGUGGGGAGCAAACAGGAUUAGAAACCCCAGUAGUCC
rnacentral:rRNA from 1 species